GAGAGACAGAAUGAGUGGGGGAAGACGGGGAGAGAGAAGCCGACUCCUCGCGGAGCAGGGAGCCCGACGCAGGACUUGAUCCCAGGACCCGGAGAUCGUGACCCAAGCCGAAGGCAGGCACUUCACCGACGGAGCCCCCCAGCGCCCCGAAAUCUGUUCGUGGUUUUAUCAGGGCUUCUGGAGGUCAGCCCGGCGGCUCAGCCCUGGGGAACGCCCUCGCGUGCGUGGCGGACUGCGGGUCCCGCUGGCUUCAAGGGCGGCCCAUCCCCCCCGACGGCUCCAGCAGCGUUUGCUCCGCGUGGUGGGGAUUUGCUCUGGGACGCGCCGACAUGCAGGCCUGUGAUGCCUUCAGAGGUGAGCGGCCCUGUGGUCACACGACGGGCGCGUGGCCUCCGGUUGCCCCGUGUCUCUCGCAGGCUGCAUCGUCUCACGUCCGCGGCACAUCAGAACCGACACGGGUCGUUUCUCCUCCUUGUUCUUUCCCUCUCUGGGUCCGUCGCCCGUAAAUGUCACUUCUUACCCCGCCCUCGCCGUCCCCCUCACUGGGAGCGCUCGGUGCCCCGACGUUUAUUCCACUACCCAUAUGUCUGGUCCCAACCGGCUCGGGACUGGGCUGCCAGUGAGUCGCAGGCACCUUCCUUCUUCCCACGCGCUCUGUGACCGCGUACGACUUCAGAAGUUGAUCCGGAGACGCGCGCACAUGCCUUCAAGUCGUCAAAAACUCAAGAACGGCGUAUCCUUGAACAAAGGAAGCAGCGGGAAGCUGAGCAUGGUUCCCCCCGGUCCCGGAGCCUCCCCUUCGAGCUGCGCGCCGCCCGCUGUGCUACACAGGCGGGGACCUCCCUCCGUUACCCGGUCAGCGGUCGGCAAUAGAGUGCGGCGCUGCGAAUUCGGGGUAUGAUUCUCUGUUUACCAACACACUCAAGUGAUUUACCAUCUCUGGUGUCACCUGCUGCCUAAAGAGUGAAGAUUCUGGGUCGUCGGCGAAGCGUCUGCCUUCGGCUACGGUCACGAUCUCAGGGUCCUGGGAUCGAGUCCCGCAUCCGGCUUCUCCUUCUCCCUCUGCUGCUCCCCUCGCUCGUGCUUCUCCCUCCCUCUCUCUCCCCCAAAUGACUCUAUCUGGUCUCGUCACGUCUCCUUCCUCCAGGACCUCACUUCGCCUGCAAGCCUGUGUGUGCAGGUGGGUCUGCCAAGGACACUCUCGGGCCUCAUCUGCCCAAAAAACGUCCCUCCCAUCAGCUUGCGGAAGGUUUUUUUUUUUUUUUUUUUUUUUUUUUGCUGCACGUGGAGUUCGGAGUCACGGGAUUGCCCACCAGCGUGUUAAAGCUGUUGCUUCAGUGUCUUCGGUCCUGCGUUGCUUCUGAGGACACUCGGCAUUGUUCUUUCUCUGUUCUGUCUUGUGGGUUGUGUUUACUUUCCUCCGGGUUGCUUUUAAGGUUUGGUCUUCAUCUUCGAUUUUCAGUUUGGCCACGAUGUGCCUCGGCACGCUUUUCUGUGCACGUACCCUCCUCGGAGUCCUCUGAGCUUCCUGGAUCUGUGAUUAAUACCUUUCAUUAAUUUGGGAUCCUCUUAGCUAUGAUUUAGCCUCAAAUAUUUAGUCCAUCCUGUUUACUCGCUCUUGUCCUUCCGGGUCUCCAUCUGUAUACAUUACAUGCAUUAUAGGCAGUUUGAUGUUUUCCGUAGAUCUUGGGUGCAAUUUUCUUCUUCUUUCUUUCUUUUUAAGAUUGUAUGUAUUUAUUCGACAGACAGAGAGAGCGCAGGAACCAGGGGAGGGACAAAAGCAGAGGGAGAAGCAGGUGCCCGCUGAGCAGGGAGCCCUAGACAGGGCUCGAUCCCAGGACCCCGGGACCAUGACCUGAGCCUCCCAGGAGCCCCUUGGGUAUGAUUUUCCAUUUAUGUUUUUCUUUGUGUUCCAGUGCAGAUGAUUUCUACUGACACAUCUUCGUCAGUUUUCUCUUCUUGGUUCAGUGUGUUGGUAAUCCCACAAAAUAGUUAAUCUUGGAUGUAUUUUUCCUUUCCAGCAUUUCUCGCCUUCCCAUCUGACUCAGAUACAUGUGCACAUCCCUGUGGAAACCUCCCGUGGGCGUGGACAGGACCGGGAGACUUGUGUCCUGUGAGCAGAGUGCACACGGCCUGGGGCUGCUACUUCUGCGGGGAGGCCGCACACGACGGCGACUUGGUCUCGCGUCUCUGCUGCUGAGCGGGCCCUGAUGGAGCAGCCACGUGCCGGCCCAUCUGCCCGAGCAGCCUCUUUGGCAACAAAGUGGGAGAUGAGGCCCCGCGUCCAGCAGCCCGAGAUGAAACCGCAGCCAGCAGCCUCCGCCAGCACCUUGGUUGUAGCUCCGUGAGAGACCCCGAAAAGGAGGACCCGCCUAAAGCCGUAGCCAGGGCCCUGACCCCAAGAUAAAUAAAGGUGUACUGUUUUCCUCUAAGUUUUGGGGUCCUUUACUACGUAGCGAUCGAUACACAAUGGGUACACACACUGCUGGGAUUCUUACUGGGGUUGUGUUACGCUUCUAGCUCACUUUGAGGAGAAUCGACUUCUUCAUCGCAGCUCCGUCUUCCAGGCAAAUAACUCUACAUUCUUUAUGUUUAUCUUUAACUUCUCUCAAUACAUUUUCAUGAUUUUAUCUAUAAAGAUCUUGCAAUUGGGGCAGCCCCGGUGGCUCAGCGGUUUAGCGCCACCUGCAGCCCAGGGCGUGAUCCUGGAGACCCUGGAUUGAGUCCCGCAUCGGGCUCCCUGCAUGGAGCCUGCUUCUCCCUCUGCCUGGGUCUCUGCCUCUCAUUCUCUGUGUCUCUAUGAAUAAAUAAAUAAAGUCUUAAAAAAAAAUCUUGCAAUUGUUAUACCAUUGUAAAUGGUUCCUUUUUCAUUUUUAGAAUUUUCUUUUUUUUUUAAAGAUUGUAUUUAUUUGAGAGACACUGAGAGAGACAGAGAGAGAGCAGCACAAGCAGUGGGGAGGGAGAGGGGCAGAGGGGGAGGGAGAAGCAGACUCCCGGCUGAGCAGGGAGCUCCAUGUGGGGCUCAUCCCAGGACCCUGGGAUGCCUCUCUCUUUCUCUGUGUCUCUCAUAAAUAAAUAAAUAAAUAAAAUCUUUAGGGAAAAAAAAAUUUCAGGAUUGAGUUUUUUUUUUAAGAUUUUAUUUAUUUAUUUUAUUAUUUAUUUUAAGAUUUUAUUUAUUCAUUCACGAAAAAGAGAGAGGCAGAGACACAGGCAGAGGGAGAAGCAGGCUCCAUGCAGGGAGCCCGAUGCAGGACUCAAUCCCAGGACCCCGGGGUCACGCCCUGGGCCAAAGGCAGGCGCUCAACUGCUGAGCCACCCGGGCGUCCCCUCAGUGAAAUGUCUAAAAAAAGAAAAAAAAAAUCCUUCACCAGAUUUAAGAAAUUCCUCUCGAUUCCAAAUUUGCUUAGUUUUUUUUUAAAAAUCAUGAAUCAAUGUUGAAUUUUAUCUGCUUAUUUUUCCUGCAUUCAUUUUCUCACUCACAUUUAUCAAUUACACGUUUUCUAAGGUAAGAUUGACCAAUGACUCCUUUUUCCUCAUACUGUUCUUAAGGGGUUUUGCUAUUCUCAUGAAAUAAGUUGGGGAUUGUUACCCCUUUUUCUAUCUGGAGCAGUUUGUAUCAGAUUUUAUCUUUUGUUCCUUGCACAUUUGGUGAAAACCGCCAAUAAAGCCAUCUGUGCUUAGAGUUUUAUUUUGGGGAAUUUUUUUCACUACUGAUUCAAUGCCUUUAAAAAUCAUGGGGUCUUUUUAGUUAAUUUUGCUACAUUUCUAAGAAUUUGCACAUUUCAUGUCAACUUUCAAAUUUGUUGGCACAGAAUUUACAUAUUAUUCUUAUUAUUUUAAUAUCUGGAGGGUUUUCAUAAAUUUGUCAGAGGCUUGUGAAUUACAUGGGUAUUUUCAGAGAACCCAUUUUGGCUUAGUUUAUCCUGUUUAUUUCCCCCAUUUUAUCAUGUCUGCCUUAUAUUUAUUAGUUUCUCCUUUUAUUCAUUCAGAUUUGGUUUGGACAUUUUUCUAGAUUCUAGAGGUAGGUGCUUAGCUCCCUACUUUCUGCUGUUUUCUGCUGCUGUGUACACCGAGGCAUAACAACACUGAGUAUAUUUUAGCUGCGUUCCACAAAUUUGAUAUCUACUAUUUUUACCUUUGCUUAUUUAAAAGCAUUUCUGAUUUUUAUCAUGGUUUAUCCUUUGACCAAAAUGUAUUAUCUAGAAGAGCAUUUAUUAAUUUCCAAGCAUAUGGCUAUAUUCUAGUUAUCUUUUUGUUAUUGAUUUCCAGCUUAAUGGCACGGUCAGGGAAUAUGCUCUGUAUGAUUUUUUUUUUCUCUGUAUGAUUUUAAUUCUUGAAAAAUUUUUGGGAUUUGCCCAGAACCACUUCGGCUUGAAAACAUUGUGUGUUUUGAAUACAGUCUUUUUUUUUUUAACACAGUCUUGCAUGUAUGUCCAUUAGAUCGAGUUUGUUAAUGAGGUUGUUCAAAUUUUUUAUAUAUUUAUGGCUUAAUUUUCUGUUUAUUCUAAUAAUUAUUGUGAUAAGUGUUAUUUCCUUCCACUAUGGUUAUGUAUUUUUA
rnacentral:lncRNA from 1 species